GUCAAAAUGGGUGGUAAAUUUCAUCUAAAGCUAAAUAUUGGCCAGAGACCGAUAGCGCACAAGUAGAGUGAUCGAAAGAUGAAAAGCACUUUGAAAAGAGAGUUAAACAGUAUGUGAAAUUGUUGAAAGGGAAGCGCUGGCAACCAGACUCGUGCGCGGGGUUCCCCCUUGCUUCUGCUUGGGUCACUUCCCCGUGUCCGGGCCAUCAUCAGUUUCGGGGGCCGGUUAAAGGCCCUGGGAAUGUACCCACGCCUUCGGGGGUGGACUUAUAGCCCAGGGUGUCAUGCGGCCACCCGGGACUGAGGAACGCGCUUCGGCGAGGAUGAUGGCGUAAUGGUUGUCAGCGGCCCGUCUUGAAACACGGACCAAGGAGUCUAACAUCUAUGCGAGUGUUCGGGUGUCAAACCCUUGCGCGGAAUGAAAGUGAACGGAGGUAGGAAGGCUUAAGCCUGCACUAUCGACCGAUCCUGAUGUCUUCGGAUGGAUUUGAGUAAGAGCAUAGCUGUUGGGACCCGAAAGAUGGUGAACUAU
rnacentral:rRNA from 1 species